CCUACGGGGGGCUGCAGUGGGGAAUAUUGGACAAUGGGGGCAACCCUGAUCCAGCGACGCCGCGUGUGUGAAGAAGGCCUGCGGGUUGUAAAGCACUUUUAGUGGGGAGGAAGGUCUGCGACCUAACACGUCGUGGAAUUGACUUAACCCACAGAAAAAGCACCGGCUAACUCUGUGCCAGCAGCCGCGGUAAUACAGAGGGUGAAAGCGUUAAGCGGAGUUACCGGGCGUGGUGCGGUCGGAGGGGUGUGAAAGCCCCGGGCUCAACCUGGGAAUUGCAUUCGAGACUGCGAAGCUGGAGUGCGGAAGAGGGAAGUGGAAUUUCCGGUGUAGCGGUGAAAUGCGUAGAUAUCGGAAGGAACAUCAGUGGCGAAAGCGACUUCCUGGUCCAGCACUGACGCUCAGGCACGAAAGCGUGGGGAGCAAACAGGAUUAGAUACCCCAGUAGUC
rnacentral:rRNA from 1 species